GAUGAAGAACGUAGCGAAAUGAGAUAAGUAAUGUGAAUUGCAGAAUUCAGUGAAUCAUCGAAUCUUUGAACGCACAUUGCGCCCUCUGGUAUUCCGGGGGGCAUGCCUGUUCGAGCGUCAUUAUAACCACUCAAGCUCUCGCUUGGUAUUGGGGCUCGCGGUUCCGCGGCCCCUAAAAUCAGUGGCGGUGCCUGUCGGCUCUACGCGUAGUAAUACUCCUCGCGAUUGAGUCCGGUAGGUCUACUUGCCAGCAACCCCCAAUUUUUACAGGUUGACCUCGGAUCAGGGAGGGAUACCCGCUGAACUUAAGCAUAUCAAUAAGCGGAGGA
rnacentral:misc_RNA from 1 species